rnacentral:rRNA from 1 species
GAUGAACGCUGGCGGCGUGCCUAAUACAUGCAAGUCGAGCGAACGGACGAGAAGCUUGCUUCUCUGAUGUUAGCGGCGGACGGGUGAGUAACACGUGGAUAACCUACCUAUAAGACUGGGAUAACUUCGGGAAACCGUAGCUAAUACCGGAUAAUAUUUUGAACCGCAUGGUUCAAAAGUGAAAGACGGUUUUGCUGUCACUUAUAGAUGGAUCCGCGCUGCAUUAGCUAGUUGGUAAGGUAACGGCUUACCAAGGCAACGAUGCAUAGCCGACCUGAGAGGGUGAUCGGCCACCCUGGAACUGAGACACGGUCCAGACUCCUACGGGAGGCAGCAGUAGGGAAUCUUCCGCAAUGGGCGAAAGCCUGACGGAGCAACGCCGCGUGAGUGAUGAAGGUCUUCGGAUCGUAAAACUCUGUUAUUAGGGAAGAACAUAUGUGUAAGUAACUGUGCACAUCUUGACGGUACCUAAUCAGAAAGCCACGGCUAACUACGUG